GAUUGAAGAUAGCUGAUCGGCACAGACUUAGUGUGUCGCAGUCUGUACAAAGGACAAUGUUGUUUACUGUUGGAAUACAAAUGGAGUGUACCGUUUUGUUUCAUGGAUUAUGCUAAUAAAGGGAGUUUUACUACUACUUUGAGUAUUUUCGACAAGUGUACACGUACAUCUUCGGUCCUUUACAGAUAUUACGAGUAGACCCAGAUUCCAAAUACCGGAAGUUGUCGUCUGAAGUAGAGUUAUCUUUUCUUGGCCUAAGAGUUCAAAACUGUGCAGCAAGCUGGGAUUUUAUGUGGAUAAAAACUAUUUACAUUGGGAAUAUUUGGAAUAUUUGAGUCUGGAUAAGUUCUAGGACAUCAUUUGCAUUAGUGCAUACGAGGAUUUGUGUAACUUUUUUCAAGUAAGGUGUUUUAUGACUUUGUUUACAAAUCGUGUGCUACUUUCGAUUCUUCCCUUGUGUAUUUAUAUAUGUGUGAUAGAGAACAGAGCGGAUAAGAUGCCCCUGUGGCUGGGCUUCGCCAUUUUCGCCAAUGGCGAAUUUUUUUCAAAAAUGGCGAAAAAAAAUUGAAAGUGGCGAAAAUCCCUUUUUGCAAUAAAUUGUAUUUUUAAUCCUUUGUCAGUGACA